rnacentral:rRNA from 1 species
GCAAGUCGAGCGAGCAGAACCAGCAGAUUUACUUCGGUAAUGACGCUGGGGACGCGAGCGGCGGAUGGGUGAGUAACACGUGGGGAACCUGCCCCAUAGUCUAGGAUACCACUUGGAAACAGGUGCUAAUACCGGAUAAUAAAGCAGAUCGCAUGAUCAGCUUAUAAAAGGCGGCGUAAGCUGUCGCUAUGGGAUGGCCCCGCGGUGCAUUAGCUAGUUGGUAAGGUAACGGCUUACCAAGGCAAUGAUGCAUAGCCGAGUUGAGAGACUGAACGGCCACAUUGGGACUGAGACACGGCCCAAACUCCUACGGGAGGCAGCAGUAGGGAAUCUUCCACAAUGGACGCAAGUCUGAUGGAGCAACGCCGCGUGAGUGAAGAAGGUUUUCGGAUCGUAAAGCUCUGUUGUUGGUGAAGAAGGAUAGAGGUAGUAACUGGCCUUUAUUUGACGGUAAUCAACCAGAAAGUCACGGCUAACUACGUGCCAGCAGCCGCGGUAAUACGUAGGUGGCAAGCGUUGUCCGGAUUUAUUGGGCGUAAAGCGAGCGCAGGCGGAAGAAUAAGUCUGAUGUGAAAGCC